CUUCAUUCCUUUGCAGACUGACUUCCCUCGAGUGGGGGAGGACCUCCCAGUGAGGCCUGUGAGUGCACACAGCUGUGAGCAGUGAGCUGGGCUGCACUCUGCGAGCCGCUGGCCGGUGGUUCCUGGCCUGCUCUGUUGAUGAGGGAGGUGAGAUCUCAUACCUUCCUGCUCCACACUGGGAGACUACAGUAUUCCUGUGUAUGAAUUUGUUACGGGACAUCAGUCCAGGUGCUUGCCGCACAACAGGCCAAUUCACACCAAGAGACAAGGCGCCGAGGCAAGGAAGGUGACUAGAGAAAAGCCAGCAGGACAAGAAGAUGGAGGACUCUUACCCCAAGUCGUCCGUGUCUGUUGGGAAGCUGGCUGAGGAGUGAUUUAUAUCAGCAGGCGAUGGGUGUUCCCAGACCGGUGGGCACCUUCACACAGCAGGUGGGCCAGAGAAGCGAUCUGAGGCUAAUCGCCUAGUCAUGAGAUGCUUUUCAGUUCUGCAGAUGUCAGGGAAAAGAUUAUGACGGGCUAUUCUUUCCAUGUACGGCAUACAGACCAUCACCAAACUUUUCACAAUGAAAGAGAACGUACUUCACCUGACGUGGAGAUCAGGAGACCCAGCUUAAGUGCCACCUCCCCCAGGGAGCUGCUUCUUCCUGCUCUCCAGUGACCUGCACAGUUCCAGCAGAAUCCAGGCCUGGCUUGUGACCUAGGAAGGGAAGUGGCCAGCUGAAAACACUGCCCUGGAGAAACCAAAGCCACCACUGCCACGAAGGCAGCCCUCUUUCCUC
rnacentral:lncRNA from 1 species